UACGGGGGGAGCAAGCGUUGUUCGGAUUUACUGGGCGUAAAGGGCGCGUAGGCGGCCACCGCAAGUCGGUUGUGAAAUCUCUGGGCUUAACCCAGAAAGGUCAAUCGAUACUGCGGGGCUAGAGUGCAGAAGGGGCAACUGGAAUUCUCGGUGUAGCGGUGAAAUGCGUAGAUAUCGAGAGGAACACCUGCGGCGAAGGCGGGUUGCUGGGCUGACACUGACGCUGAUGCGCGAAAGCCAGGGGAGCGAACGGG
rnacentral:rRNA from 1 species